rnacentral:tRNA from 1 species
AACUCUNAUAGUUUAAAAAACAU